rnacentral:rRNA from 1 species
GGGGGAUCUUAGGACCUCUCGCUACAGGGGCGGCCGAUGGCAGAUUAGCUAGUUGGUGGGGUAAAGGCCUACCAAGGCGACGAUCUGUAGCUGGUCUGAGAGGACGACCAGCCACACUGGGACUGAGACACGGCCCAGACUCCUACGGGAGGCAGCAGUGGGGAAUUUUGGACAAUGGGGGCAACCCUGAUCCAGCAAUGCCGCGUGUGUGAAGAAGGCCUUCGGGUUGUAAAGCACUUUUGUCCGGAAAGAAAACGUCCUGGUUAAUACCCGGGGCGGAUGACGGUACCGGAAGAAUAAGCACCGGCUAACUACGUGCCAGCAGCCGCGGUAAUACGUAGGGUGCAAGCGUUAAUCGGAAUUACUGGGCGUAAAGCGUGCGCAGGCGGUCCGCUAAGACAGAUGUGAAAUCCCCGGGCUUAACCUGGGAACUGCAUUUGUGACUGGC